CUCCGCCCCUCCCCCCCCCAGCGCUGCUGCUGCCGCCGUCUAUGCCCUGCACCAGAGCCUGACCCACGGAUAUGGGGUGGCACAUGUGGGGCAGGUGAUGCUGCUGCACCAGAGCCACGGGGGGGGGCAGGGGGGGGGCGGAGUCACCCCCGGACCCUUCCCAUACAUCAGCCACCAUCAAGUCCAGUCCCAGCAGCUCCAGUUCCACCCCCCGGGCAACUGAGGCCGCCCCCCAAGUGGCUUCUCCUGCCCCCCAAGUGUGGGGCUGGAGGCUGGGGGGGGAUCUAUGGGGCAGAGCUGGGGCCGCCCCUCCCCCCUCCCCCUUUGAAGGGGCUUUUCUAUUAUUUAUAGUGGGGGGAGGGG